AGCAGUAGCCGCGGUAAUACGUAGGUGGCAAGCGUUGUCCGGAAUUAUUGGGCGUAAAGGGCUCGCAGGCGGUCUCUUAAGUCUGAUGUGAAAGCCCCCGGCUCAACCGGGGAGGGUCAUUGGAAACUGGGAAACUUGAGUGCAGAAGAGGAGAGUGGAAUUCCGCGUGUAGCGGUGAAAUGCGUAGAGAUGUGGAGGAACACCAGUGGCGAAGGCGACUCUCUGGUCUGUAACUGACGCUGAGGAGCGAAAGCGUGGGGAGCGAACAGGAUUAGAUACCCCCGUAGUCCCUGUCUCUUAUAC
rnacentral:rRNA from 1 species